rnacentral:rRNA from 1 species
UACGUAGGGGGCAAGCGUUGUCCGGAUUUAUUGGGCGUAAAGAGCGUGUAGGCGGCCAGGUAGGUCUGCUGUGAAAACUCGAGGCUUAACCUCGAGCUGUCGGUGGAAACUGUCUGGCUAGAGUCCGGAAGAGGAGAAUGGAAUUCCUGGUGUAGCGGUGAAAUGCGCAGAUAUCAGGAAGAACACCCGUGGCGAAAGGCGGUUCUCUGGGACGGUACUGACGCGUGAGGCACGAAGGUCAGGGGAGCAAACGGG